CUGGCCGUUACUGUGGGCUGGCACGUAAGAACCGGAGGAAGAAUAAUCCAGAACAGAGUCCUCGUGUGUGUCUCAUAGCUGGGAUGUGCGCUGUGGCUUUGCUGUUACACAGCUUUACCAAGUCCGAGUAGAUCUCCGUAGUGUAUAGCGUCUUCCUAUAAUCUGAUUGGUAGGAAAGAUCAUCCAAUCAGCUCUCAGAGCAGGAUAGGAGACCAUACAUAGUAAUACAUUUCAGAGUCCAGAUAGAAUUAAACUAGUUACACAUUUGGUGUUGGCGGAUGUUGGACUGAAUUGCUUUUUAUCUGAAUUAUUAUUUUGCCCCACUGUGUAAUGGACAGGAGUCAGGGGUCCCAUGGCCUCUCAGGACUCUGCUUUCUUCAGUAUCCUUUUUGUUUCCACUCCUGGAAUUCACCUCUACAUGAUAUGAUUUAUUUUUAUGGUCUGUUACAUUCAGGUCUCACUGGUGAAAAUGAAUCUGUCUGAUGAUAGAAGAGGGUGAGAGCUACAUAACGGUAGGAAGCGUCUGUCAUGCAGUGAGAAGUUGGUGAUGACCAAGGCGGCUGAUACAAAGUGGGAAGCGUCUGUCAUGCAGUGAGAAGUUGGUGAUGACCAAGGCGGCUGAUACAAAGGUCUCACUGGUGAAAAUGAAUCUGUCUGAUGAUAGAAGAGGGUGAGAGCUACAUAACAGUGGGAAAAGUCUGUCAUGCAGUGAGAAGUUGGUGAUGACCAAGGCGGCUGAUACAAAGGUCUCACUGGUGAAAAUGAUUCUGUCUGAUGAUAGAAGAGGGGGAGAGCUACAUAACGGUGGGAAGCGUCUGUCAUGCAGUGAGAAGUUGGUGAUGACCAAGGCGGCUGAUACAAAGGUCUCACUGGUGAAAAUGAAUCUGUCUGAUGAUAGAAGAGGGUGAGAGCUACAUAACGGUGGGAAGCGUCUGUCAUGCAGUGAGAAGUUGGUGAUGACCAAGGCGGCUGAUACAAAGGUCUCACUGGUGAAAAUGAAUCUGUCUGAUGAUAGAAGAGGGUGAGAGCUACAUAACAGUGGGAAGCGUCUGUCAUACAGUGAGAAUUUGAUGAUGAGCAAAGCGGCUCAUACAAAGGUCUCACUGGUGAAAAUGAAUCUGUCUGAUGAUAGAAGAGGGUGAGAGCUACAUAACAGUGGGAAGCGUCUGUCAUGCAGUGAGAAGUUGGUGAUGACCAAGGCGGCUGAUACAAAGGUCUCACUGGUGAAAAUGAAUCUGUCUGAUGAUAGAAGAGGGUGAGAGCUACAUAACAGUGGGAAGCGUCUGUCAUGCAGUGAGAAGUUGGUGAUGACCAAGGUGGCUGAUACAAAGGUCUCACUGGUGAAAAUGAAUCUGUCUGAUGAUAGAAGAGGGUGAGAGCUACAUAACGGGUCUUACUGGUGAAAAUAGGAUGAAUCUGAUGAUAGGAGAGUGUGGGAGCUACAUAACAGCAUGGUGUCCGAUCAUGGCGCCAUGGACCACACAAGAAGCUGUCAAGAAGAGUCGUGGUUACCAUUUGGAGUCCAUACAUGGCAUAUCCAGGCACUCAGCAGGACAGCUGAUGAAAAAUCCAACAUAAAACCACAAUUACAAGAUAUUAAUGGGAACGGUGCAGGACAGAUGGAAGAUUGGCUUUGUGAUCAGUGGGACCAGGCCGACACCACGUAUGGCCUCACUAGUCACUGUAUACAGAUAGCGCUGGACCUUCCAGAGAUGGAGAGCGCUGAGUGGGCUUCCUGUCCUAGUUUGGGAGUGCUUUAUGUUCCAGGAUUCCUAUAAGAAUAGUCCCAGAGAAUUAUGUAACGGCGUUUCAGCAAGAUUGAAGGUUGAUCCCUGACAGCAGAUGAGUAAAACUCCAUGGAUGAUAAUGUGUUGGUGUAAAAAAUUACCUGGAAGAAAAAAAAUUAAACUUCAUAAAGCAAAUUGUAAACAGUCGUAAUGGGAUUUGUGCGUCAGACUCUGAGGAGAAUAGCUCAGAGACUCUUGCCUGUAGACACUCAGAACUCCACUUAGUUGUCCGUAAAAAAAAUGGAACACACGGGCUAUGGUCCCAGCAUACAGUAUCCUUACGUAGAUGGUAUAUUUUGACUUCUUAUAUACUUCCCAUGAGGUUGUCCAGUAUUGUAUUCAAAUUAUUGUUUUGUUUUUUUAUUUGUGUCAUACUGAUGAGAUGUUUUACACUGUUUCCAGACACCCGGUAAGUCCCCUGCACGUAUCAACUGCCACCAUCCGUUAUUUUCUACCUCAGAUGCGAUGAAAGGGUUACACUGUGUAUGGAUGCUUACAUAAAUAUACUGUGGAUAGGCACAUAAGACAAUCUUUGGCUCCUCUUGCCAUUUUUAACAGAUAAACCAUAUGCUUCCACUGUAUAUCCCAAACAAACUAAAACACACAAAAAUUCAAGAUGCAAUAUUUAAAAUGCAAACCACAAUUUUUUUUUAAAUCCAAAAGUUUUUAUUGAAAAUUUUCCAUGUAUAGUACAGAAAAAGAAGACAAACUACAAACCCUCCCCAGCAACUGCCAUACAGUAUAACAAUAAUAUUGCAUUUGGUAAUCUCAAGGAAAUUGUACAGAUAAGUAAGGCAAAUAAAUAACUAUAU